AGGCAAGUCAUCCUUGGCUA
rnacentral:snRNA from 1 species